GAGUAUGAAGACGUUUAGCAGGCUAACAGCUUGCCAUUCUGGCAGCUUCAUCCUCAUAUAAGCUGCUUAGUUGAUUGUCUCUUGUUGAAGUUGUUUUAUUGGCUGGCUUUAAAAUCAACACAAGAAGCAUCAUUGGAUAUGUUUGCCUGAUGAGAAGACAAUUUCUAUAGCACUCCCUUGACAAAUUGUGAAGAAAGAUCUACAAGUUACAAGAAUACAAAAUUGAUAGUGAUACCUGAUAACUCCUUUCAUAACACUCAUUCGAUAGUUCUGCCUUAAAACACCCUGAAAAGAAAUCAUGUUUGAAAAUCCUGUGGUCAUUCAGAAAACACAUGUGUGGUGAUGGCUAUCAAUCACCGAUUUCAUCAUGUAUUCCGGUAUUCCCCAUCUUCCAUGUUUUCUGAUUGUAACUCAGGGAUACGUAACUAAGUUUGAGUGAAGUGAAGCCUUUUGGAGCUGUUGAUGGCCGGAAGUCUGUAACUACCCAACACGAGGUCACUAGGUUCUCACUGUCAAAUAGAACUAUGCAAGCGGCAGUUGCAGACUUUGCAGACCCCCCAAGAUCUCCUGGCCGUUCCUUGUGCCGAUUUAAAGCAAGUCCCUGACUAUCAUCAGAUAUAUCAUCAAGGAUCAAAACAUGUACUUUGGUUGAGACCAGAUAAUUGAGACCCGCGGAUUACAGAGAGACGUUACCAAUGACUUGUGGAGUUUAUUACCAACAUCGUCAAGACUAAACCGAUUUAUAAUAGUGGGUAAGUGUAAAAUUUAAUUUGUUGUACAGCAACCGAGGAGUGGAAACGCGUAAAGUGACCCCUAAUAGAAGAUAUUCGUACUGCAGGACAAAUGUCAUCAUGUUGUUGAUGACGGAGAGAAAGCUAGAGUCGUACACUCGUAGGUUACUUUAGAAUGUCUUAAGUUAAAUUUAGGUAUUUUUUCAACAUGUUCCAACUGAUGCAGUGUUUAUUAAUUAUUUUUCAAUUACCAUUAUAGAGUUCAACCUGCAGACGGGCCGGCCAGUUUGCAUGUCCUUCACGUUUGAAGGUCACGGGGAUCAUUCCGUAACAAUAACUGUCAUGCGGUGGUGUAGAGGUUGGGUGAGAAUCGUGCAGUGGUGUAGAGGUUGGGUG